GAGUGCCUCCCCCUCAGCCGGGCGGAGGAGGAGGAGGAGGAGGGGCCCUUCGCCCGAAUUUCGGCCCAUCGGAAGAGGCGGCGGGGGGGGCGGGCAGGUGGGGCGAGCCGCGCUCGCCGGUCCCGGGCGCUGCCGGCCGGAGCAGCGGGUCGGGGGCCUCGCCGUAGGCACAGCCGCCUGCGUCGGCCGCUGAAACACGCGGAGGUGUUUUUAGGCAUUACCCACUGCAAUGGCACCACCAUAAAGUGGAUGGAUGGAUCAUGGCGGGUGUAACGGAUGCCCACCUGGCUAAAUGUCUACAUGCUGAAGGCAGUUAAAGGGCACUUCCAUCAAGAACUAGGAUGGACAAGUCUGCAGACAACCAACUACUUGAGGAACCUCACAUAAGAAGAAUUGCUGAGGGCCAAGCUCAGUACAGUUUUAUUUCCCUUCUACCAUAAAUACAGCAAGAACAAUAAAUGUACAAAGAACUUACAGCUGGAUUGCCAUCAUUUUGAUUCUACUUACUGCUGGCUGGCU